GAUGAAGAACACAGCGAAAUGCGAUAAUUAAUGUGAAUUGCAGAAUUCCGUGAAUCAUCGAGUCUUUGAACGCACAUUGCGCCUCAUGGCAUUCCGUGAGGCAUGCCCAUCUCAGCGUUAGAAAAUAUUCUCAAAUUUUAGUUUUGUGCUAAAAUUUGGAUCAUGUCAAGGAAGCUAUUACUAUUAUUGUGAUUGCUCUUUGGAAAUUGAUAGGUCUUUGAGUUGCUACUCAUAGAACGUGAUGAAUCUUUCUUCGUUCUAUUGUAAUUCACUCUGGUAGUCCUAAAAGUUGUAUGCCUGUGGCAUAUCUUGUAAUUUGACCUGAGAUUGGGUAGGGAUACCCGCUGAACUUAAGCAUAUCAAUAAGCGGAGGA
rnacentral:misc_RNA from 1 species